UGGGUGGAUGUGCUGGGGGGAUUGGAAGGGGGAGGCCACCAGGCAAAGCUUCAUCCUUCGCCCUCCUCUCUCCCCGUUGUCGUCGGAGCCCGACAUUCUUGGCGACUUCAGCCUCCCGCCCCAGAGACGCGUUCAGCAGCUGACUCUCUUAAAGGAGUCUGUCUCAGGGUGGGAUGGGGGAGCAGCCCUGGCCUGGAACACUCAGGAUUGACGCAGGUGGUAGGGACCUGGGGCCUCUACCAUGGCCCCAGUCCCAGGAGAUUGACCCCUACCGUGCCUGUUUUAGUCCUAGGGUCUGCUGGUUGAGGAUCCAGCUAGAGGUAGUGCCCUCAGGGACUGGUCGCAGAGGGGCUAGCAUGAGCCUCAAGGGCCAGAGAGGCCUGUGGUUUUUCAGGAGUGAUCCUCUUUCAGAACUUGGAUGUGGAGUUUGUGCUUGAAGGAAACAAGGAGAACAUAAGACACUGUGCUGGACGGAGCUUGCGAGUAUUUUUCCAAACACAUAGCUCAGGAGACCAUUUUAUUGUCAUUCAACUAGAACCUGCAAAUGCCAAUGGGAACAAAGGGUUACCAAGAUUAGUUUGACACCCCCAAAUCAAGCAGUAUGAUACCCCAGUUAUCCAGGAAAAAAAGGUGGAUUAUAGGACUUUCUGGGUAGAAUAGCAAAACCAUUCAUUCAUGAUUUAAACAAACAAACUGUUAGCAAGAAGCAGGAAAGAACUUCCUUUAUUCAGUAAAGCUAUCUACUUAAGAACAAAUCCCUAAGAAGCAGAAAACAGAAACUCUGCAAUUAUCAUCAUACUUAAUGGUGAAAUCUUUAAUGCUUUUCCACUGAGAUUGGAAGUGAGAAGGGAUGCUGACACUCAUCAGUACAAUUCUGAAUUGGAGAUCCUAGCCAGUGUAAUAAGGCAGGAAAAAAGAGUAAAGUUUGAAGAUAGGAAAAGAAGCCAUAAAACAUGUCAUUCACAUGUGACAUGAUUGGAUAUGUAAAAAAAAAAAAUUUUUUUUAAACUGUAAGUAAGUUGAUAUGUUCAGUUAGUAAAGUCACUGGAUACAAAUUCAAUAUCAAAAACUAAUUGUAUUUCUUUAUACCAGCAAUAAUUAGAAAAUGAAAUUUAUAAUAACAUAAAAAUCAAAUGCCUAAAAAUAAACCUAGUGAGUGAUGAGUACAAUUUCUAUACAGAAACGAAAAACACCAGUGAAACAAAUUGUUAAAGAUAUGAAUUCAACAGGGGAAUAUACCAUGUUUGGGGAUUGGAAUUUAAGAUGUUUUCCCUCAAAUUGAUCUUAGCAUUGAUCAGUCCAUCUGCUGCAAUCUCAAUCAAAGUAACCAGAGGGGUUUGUUGUCUGACUGUCAUUGUCAUCGUCUCUUCCUCCUCCUCAGUUUCCUCCUCCUUCUCCUUCUUUGGUGAAACUUGACAAGUUGAUGCUACAGUGUAUAUGAAGAACAACACCAUUGGAGGACUUACACAUCAUACUAUAAAGAAGACAGUGUAGUAUUGGUGCAAGGAUAAACAAUCUACUAGUGGAACAAAACACAAAAUGCAGAAGCAGCUCCAUCCUGGUUUAUCAGGGCGAAGAUGAUACUGUAGAGCAGUGGAGAAAGUCCAGAUUUUUCAAUAAAUGGUGGUGGAUCAAUUGAGUAUCUAUACUUGGAAAAAAAAAAAAAACACUCCCAUCCCUACACCAUACUCUAAAACCAAUUUGUAUUCGUCAACUUUCUGUUACUGUAACAAAUACCUGACAUAAUCAACUGGUAAAGAGAAAGGAUUUAUUUUGGCUCUGUUUUGGGGGUUCUGGUCCAUGACUGGUUGGCCCCAUUGCUUUGGGCUUGUGGGUGACACAGCACAUUGUGGCGGGGAGUAUGUGGAAGCUGCUAACCUCAUGGCAGCCAGAAAGCAAAAAAAAA
rnacentral:lncRNA from 1 species